rnacentral:lncRNA from 1 species
GCACCCCCCCCCCCCAAGGCGGGGCAGGUGCGCACGGACUGCGCUUGCGCACGGCAGCCCCGCCCCGGGCCCCGCCCCCGACCCGCGCGGGGCCCUGGGAGGGGCACAGCGUCCGGCGGCGUCGCGGGCGGCGGGGCUGGGGCGGCGGGAGGGGCGGCGGGGGCAGACAAAGCGGCUAAUGAAUGGGCGCGCCCGUCGCGCUGUCCGCAGCCCGCGGGCCCGCGCAGCGCAGCGCGGAGCCGGCGCCUCAGGUCUCUGAUGGGCCUAGAGUUUGGAGCAAGAACUGGGAAGCAGAGCUCUAGAAGCAUGGAGACCAUAAGUGGCCAUGGUCACUGUCUCUUCACCCCAUGUCUGCACUUUUUAUGUACCUGGCUUCAAAUACUUUAGUUUCUACUUCUGGUUGACCUACUGAGAGGAGGGCAUAGGAAAUGAAGGACUGUGUGUGCCCUCAAGAUGGCGGGGCUCCUGACUUGGAGAAGAGGAAGAAGUCUAUGCUGCACGCAUUGGUUUAUACAACAAGAAGUAUUUGGUUGCAGUACUCCUACAGAACAGCACUCCAUGCCCUGUGACAGUGUGCUUGUGUGAGCUUUCCAGUGACAUUCAUGGUCAGCCAUAGUAAACAGCCUAGAAAAUGAGAUUAUGAAAGAGUGAAUAAAAUCUACUUUAGGGUUCA